AUUAGCUAGUUAAAAAACUCGUGAUUUUGUACGGCAAUCUCAAAACGCCGGCUAAGACCGUUAGUUAGAAGCUAACAUAGCGGCAAAUGGUUAUGGCAUCUGGUCUUCCUGACCUCUACAAAGACAACCCCAUUCACACCUCAGGGAUGACAGAGAAUGAGUUGUGGCUGCUGAAUGCAAAGUCAGAGCAGAAAUGCAACACAAAAGGCCCAAAGGAGGUUAAAGCCACCCUGCAAGCUGGUCAUGGAGAACAUGUCCCCUCCCCAGGGAACAGAACCAAAGCAAAUGACAACAACAAAUCCAUCAAACUUAGCAGCAGUGAGCACAUCAGCAGUUUUUGCCAGCCCACCAGAGGCCUAAAAUGCACAUAUUGCAUGCUGGCCCCCCAAGCAGCAGGCGGCCCUGGGACUCGCCAGCCCCUCGGUGGCCAGAGAGGACUUGAUAAAUGACUGGAGCAAACUUCUCUGUCACCAGUGAGGGAGGAGUCCCCCACAGGGGUCCCUCCUGUAGUAAGACUCCAAUGAUGAACCUGCUCCACCUGCCUGAUGAACUUGUACUUCAGAGCGAUGAGACCUCCAGUUUUCUGCCAUGGUGUUUACUCUGAGUCUGCCAAAGGAGGAAGGAGAGGGGAUCCAUUUGUCCCAAGGUGAGACACACUCUCCAACACCCCGAUGUUAAAUAAACACUCCCAGACCUCUGGCCAGCUCACUCCAGCUACUGGAAUACCAUUGGUGUGUCUAGAUGAUGGAGGGCUAUUGUUAUCUAUCGCCUCUGCACUCUGCUGAGAGGCCAAGGAGAGGGCUGGCCACAGUCGCAUGUUACAUAUAGACUCGCCCACUCACAUUAAGUUGUAUUUGUCGGCCCUAAAUAAAAAUACAACAGGAGAUCUGGAGACACUUUCUUAGAAUAACAUCUGAUUGAAGAGGGAGAGAGGGGGAAAAAAAAUUAGAGCGCAGCUCAGCGUGUGUUUCAUCACCUGCAAAGCCAAUGAGGGAGAGCGUCUCCGCGUCAACAACUGUAAAGCGUAUCCGAGCUUCUGCUGCUGCUGCCAUCUCCGCUGCACGCUACACUAACCAAGAAUGUGUAUUUCUGCAGAUGAUUAAAUCAAUACCAUUUUGACAAGACUUGUUGGAACAUGCCUCUUUAUUUUACACAAUUCCUUCCCUUUCGUCAGGGAGCAUUUAUCAACCUGCCGGGGUGCUGUCACCUAAUGGAGAUUGUUCUUUAGUCUGCACUUGAUAGAAGGGAACGAUUAUGAUGCAUGUCGAUAGUUUACAGAGAUAUUGACAUAGGAACAAAGAGCAGACCCUUGCGGCUGGUAGCCUUUUCCCUCACACUCCCGCAAAGCGCCUCGGUCAUGUUUCAAACAAGUCUUUCUCCCCAUGCACUACUUCUCCCACAAUGCCUUCCUUUGUUUUAGUGGUCAAUUAAGGUCUGGAGGCCCCAUAAUGCGGCAGUAGGUUAGGGGACUCCAGUGUUCCCUUGUAUUUACUUUACGACACAAGCCAGGCAGCCUCCUCCCUCUGUCAUGUCUUUUGCCCUGAGCCCUCCCCCCAAACAAACAAACAAAAAAAAAAAAAAUCUGUCACCUUAAAAAUGCCUUCACUCGUCAUCUUUGGUUCGGCAUGCAAGGAGUUAAAGAUAAAAACCAGCCCAGGGUGUGACAACAGGCCCUGAAUAUAAUAAGCUUGAAGGAGACAGGAAUGA